AAAUCCACUAUAAGAUACACUUUUUAUUUAGAGAUUAACAAAUGACUGCAUUACUUUUUCUCUCACCAUUCAU